rnacentral:tRNA from 3 species
GCCCUUGUAGCUCAGUUGGUAGAGCGCAUCCUUGGUAGGGAUGAGGUCUGCGGUUCGAUUCCGCACAAGGGCU